rnacentral:rRNA from 1 species
AUGUACACGGCUUUCCAGGUGGACGAACAUACGUUCAAGGUGUGUUCUAUCAUGGGCAUGUCGGAUUCAGAACCUGAAGACCCAGACAAGGGAAGGAACUACUUUGUGAAGGCAUCGAUAAGCGAAGGCGAAUACUACUGCCAAUGCUGCAAAUUCGAACGGGACGGGAUUGUGUGCUGUCACAUUCUAAAAGUAGUGGACUUGAACGCGGUGACACGAAUACCCCGCCAUUUCAUAAGGCGGCGAUGGACUUGGGACGAUGACGACGCAUUGGCGCCACAAACAUCAAACGCAGUUUUGGCCGUGCAUGAAGAGAGACCAGAGUCAACCAUGGAAGCCGUGAGGCACGUUGUGUUGACAAAGAACUAUGCUGAACUAAUUGAUGAAGCGUGCAAGAGUGAUGAGACAGCAAAGGUCGCAGAAAAACACAGGAAGGCCCUCAAAAGAGAGCUUGAUGAGAUCAAGAAGAGGAAAGCUGAGGAAGCCUUACACAGGUUCCCCCGCACAUCAAGUGCGCCUUCGUCCACAGGGCCAUCAUCUGAAAACUCAGAGGUAGGAUCUGGAACAACAAGCACACAAACACAGGUUAGGAACCCGCCCCGUUCCAUCACAAAAGGGCGUCCAAAAGAGAUAAGAUACAAAUCGGGAUUGGAGAUUCAAGCAAAACAUAAGAAACCAAAGAAAGGGACGGGCAAUCCGUAA